UUUAUUGGAGAGUUUGAUCCUGGCUCAGGAUGAACGCUGGCGGCGUGCCUAAUACAUGCAAGUCGAGCGAAUGGAUUGAGAGCUUGCUCUCAAGAAGUUAGCGGCGGACGGGUGAGUAACACGUGGGUAACCUGCCCAUAAGACUGGGAUAACUCCGGGAAACCGGGGCUAAUACCGGAUAACAUUUUGAACUGCAUGGUUCGAAAUGGAAAGGCGGCUUCGGCUGUCACUUAUGGAUGGACCCGCGUCGCAUUAGCUAGUUGGUGAGGUAACGGCUCACCAAGGCAACGA
rnacentral:rRNA from 1 species